rnacentral:rRNA from 1 species
AUUGAACGCUGGCGGCAGGCCUAACACAUGCAAGUCGAGCGAGCGGCGGACGGGUGAGUAAUGUAUGGGGACUGCCCGAUAGAGGGGGGUAAAUAUUGGAAACGGUGUCUAAUACACCGUACUGUCGGAUAACCCAUAUGGGAUUAGCUAGUGGGUAAGGUAAUGGCUUACCUAGGCGACGAUCCCUAGCUGGUCUGAGAGGAUGAUCAGCCACACUGGGACUGAGACACGGCCCAGACUCCUACGGAGGCAGCAGUGGGGAAUAUUGCGCAAUGGGCGCAAGCCUGAUGCAGCCAUGCCGCGUGUAUGAAGAAGGCCCUAGGGUUGUAAAGUACUUUCAGUAGGGAGGCGUUACCGACAGAAGAAGCACCGGCUAACUCCGUGCCAGCCGCCGCGGUAAUAC